ensembl:lncRNA
CUAGCAUGACCUCUGACAUGCACUUCCUGGUUACUUCCUGGUUUGUCACUUACAUAAGCACAUAGAGUCUAUCCCAAUUCCAAGUUUGGUAGUAUGCGCUGAGCGGAUAGUUGAUCGGAUCCACCUAAUACUGCAGGUAGUCUUGUCUAGACAAAUCGGUAGCCCAGGCAUCAAGGACCAGCAGGAUUCGUGUCUGGAUUCGCCUAGCAGACCAGUCAGACCGAUUUUUAGGUUCUUCUCUCUGGCUGCUCGGAUUUUGGUCUUCAGCGAUGCUGGCUAAGUAAUGUCGAACAAUGCAGCGGCUGGGGAACUGAUCUGUUGCUACUGGCAACAGGGGAGGCGAAGGAAUCCAUGGCAACAAGCUCCAGCGCUCUCCGUUGCCUUCAGUCGUCCACAUCCAUUUCGAAUCGACCCAAAAUUCAGGAUGUUCUACAGUAGGUGAG